rnacentral:rRNA from 1 species
UACGGGGGGAGCAAGCGUUGUUCGGAUUUACUGGGCGUAAAGGGCGCGUAGGCGGCCACCGCAAGUCGACUGUGAAAUCUCUGGGCUUAACCCAGAAAGGUCAGCCGAUACUGCGGGGCUAGAGUGCAGAAGGGGCAACUGGAAUUCUCGGUGUAGCGGUGAAAUGCGUAGAUAUCGAGAGGAACACCUGCGGCGAAGGCGGGUUGCUGGGCUGACACUGACGCUGAUGCGCGAAAGCCAGGGGAGCGAACGGG